CCUACGGGUGGCUGCAGUGGGGAAUAUUGGACAAUGGGCGAAAGCCUGAUCCAGCCAUGCCGCGUGUGUGAAGAAGGCCUUCGGGUUGUAAAGCACUUUCAGUGGGGAAGAAAGCCUUGGGGCUAAUACCCUCGAGGAAGGACAUCACCCACAGAAGAAGCACCGGCUAACUCCGUGCCAGCAGCCGCGGUAAUACGGAGGGUGCGAGCGUUAAUCGGAAUUACUGGGCGUAAAGCGCGCGUAGGCGGUCUGAUAAGCCGGUUGUGAAAGCCCCGGGCUCAACCUGGGAACGGCAUCCGGAACUGUCGGGCUAGAGUGCAGGAGAGGAAGGUAGAAUUCCCGGUGUAGCGGUGAAAUGCGUAGAGAUCGGGAGGAAUACCAGUGGCGAAGGCGGCCUACUGGACUGACACUGACGCUGAGGUGCGAAAGCGUGGGUAGCAAACAGGAUUAGAUACCCUGGUAGUC
rnacentral:rRNA from 1 species